UUUCUAUACUCUAUUCACUGUCUUAAUUAACUGGCUUUUAAGGACAGAAAAUCUAAGAUCUUGUCUGCCCAGAGUAAAAUAAAAGAAUAUAGUUCUUUUAAAUACAGUGACUCUCCUCCUAAGCAGUUGACUAUCUGAUUAAAACCCUCUGUAUGAAGAAAGUGGACAUUAGGAAUUAGUCUGAGUAUUUAUAGCAAAAGUUGAAAUUAUAAAAGAUAGAGGCAGAACAAGUCUUGGAUCUAUGACCAUACUACAUUCAAAAGUAUUCAUUUAGAGAUCCUCAUACGGUAAUUAUGGCACUCCAAUAGAAGUGGCAAAUGGUAAAAUCAUGCAUUUUGGGGUAGCUCCCUAUAUAGCUGAGAGUGCUGGGUUUUGUUUGUUUUAUUGGUUUUGGGUAUGCCAAGAUUAUCUUAUCUUCUAACAAAACAGAGAAACUUUACAAGAAAAGAAGAGUCAUAAGUCUGUCAAAUACUUCCAGCCGAUAAACCGAGAUAAGAACUGAAAAGUGCUCAUUUGAUUUACUGAUGUGGAAAUUGCUGAUUUCCUUGGCAACUGUCAUUUCAAUGGAAUUGUUGGUGGGAAGAAGCCAGAUUGCAAUGGGUUGAGAAGUGAGUGGGAGGUAAUGAAAUGAAGACACGGUGUGCUUUUGCCUCUCAAUUCAGUCUUCAAAACUGCAUCAGCUGUUCAAACAGUGCAAUUCCACCUGGGUUUAUAUAGAGAACACUACUUGAGAUUUAAUGUCUUUCUUUACUUCCUUUGAAGAUGUAUGCUUUUAUAAUCACGCCAAAGAAGGAGAGGAAUGCGAUUAAAGGGAAUACAUGGAUGGCACAAUGAACUUCGUUAGCAGAUCUGAAACUAGGCUGUGUUCGCUGAGUGCCACAUAGCACAUAUCAUGUGAAAUAAUAAUAGACUAACACACCAACCUGGUAGAAGUGGGAGUUUGAAGGCCAAUUAGACAGAACCAUUUUUUUCUAAUGUGUCAAAAUAAUGAAAGUGGCUUUGCUAAAUAAAUUCAUGCAGACGUACUGCUGUGCAAAUUGAAUGGUUAAUACUCUACAGUAUUGCUUCUGCUUAGUUUAAAACACAGUAGACUAAUGAUUAAAUAUCCACGACAAUAUAUUUCUAUGUGGAUGUUACAAAUUCCUUUUUAAUUACCUGCUUUCUUUUGUGUCAUAUAUACCCCCAGAUUAUGCUUUUGUUCAUUCUGCAAUUUCACAUCAAACCUCAGGCUGUAAAUUUGAAAUGAGGGUUCAAUGAAAUUAUGAAGGAAAAGAAGAAUAAAUAUUACCUCUUCAGUUACCUCACCAAUUAUCUGCCUCAUCUAGACACAUUUAGUUUUCUUUGAGCAGAUUUUCUCAAUAUGAAAUAUAACUUGAUUUUUUUAAAUUGUGGCUGAAGUUUUAUAAAGUGUUCUAUCUUAUAUAUUUUGAAUUAAGUAUGUGUACAUAAUUCAAUGUUAUUUUUAUCAUCCAUUCAUUACAAGAAAAUAAUGUGAAAUAAGACUACAAACAAAGCUAGGCAGUCGUCUUUGCUAAUCUCCCUGCUAUGGUUUGAAUGUGUUUCCCCAAAAGCAUGUAAUAGAAACAAUCUUCAAUGCAACACUGCUAGGGAGUGGCGCCUAAUAAGAGGUGGUGAUUAGGUCAUGAGGGCUCCACCCUCAUGAAUUGAUCAAUGUCAUUAUCUUGAGAGAGAAUACUUGCUAUCUCAAGAGUGGAUUCUUUUCUUUUUUUUUCUUCUUUUCUUUUGAGACGGAGUUUCGCUCUUGUUGCCCAGGCUGGAGUGCUAUGGGGCAAUCUCAGCUCACCGCAACCUCCGCCUCCUGGGUUCAAGUGAUUCUCCUACCUCAGCCUCCCAAGUAGCUGGGAUUACAGGCAUGCAGCACUACGCCCGACUAAUUUUGUAUUUUUAAUAGAGAUGGGGUUUCUCCAUGUUGGUCAGGCUGGUCUCGAACUCCCGACCUCAGGUGAUCCACCCGCCUCAGCCUACCAAAGUGCUGAGAUUACAGGCGUGAGCCACUGCGCCCGGCCAUAAGAGUGGGUUCUUUAUAAAAGGACAAGUUUGCCACCCUCUGCUUUCUUUUUUCCUCUCUCUCUCUCUCUCUCUCCCCCUCUCCCUCACCCUCACCCUCUUCCCCUCUGUCUUCUGCCAUGGAAUGACCCAACAAAAAGGCCCUUGCCAGAUGCCAGUGCCUUGAUCAUGGACUUCUCAGCCUCCAAAAUCAUGAGCCGAUAAAUUUCUAUUAAUUAUAAAUCAAUCAGUCUCAUGUAUUCUAUUAUAGCAGCACGAAACAGACUAUGACACUCCUGUAGGUGGACAAUCUGCAGUGAACCAGCAUGUGGAUUAAUAGUCUCAUUUUUAAAUUAUUAUGUAAAACUAGAGUUUUUAAAUGACAAAUAAAUAU
rnacentral:lncRNA from 10 species